UAUGGAGGGUGCAAGCGUUAAUCGGAAUUACUGGGCGUAAAGCGCACGCAGGCGGCUUGUUAAGUCGGAUGUGAAAGCCCCGGGUUCAACCUGGGAAUUGCAUUCGAUACUGGCAAGCUAGAGUAUGUGAGAGGGGGGUAGAAUUCCAAGUGGAGCGGUGAAAUGCGUAGAGAUUUGGAGGAAGACCAGUGGCGAAGGCGGCCCCCUGGCACACUACUGACGCUCAGGUGCGAAAGCGUGGGGAGCAAACAGG
rnacentral:rRNA from 1 species